AAUUAAAACAGUAGUCUCAAAACAUUAGUCAAAUUAAAACAUCUAUAUUAUUAAUUAGGAAGCAUUGGAUAAUAAAUAACCUUAUAAAGGGUAAAGAAUUACAAAAAAUGCCAUUGGUUUUUAGUGUUUUUAAAUAACUUCAUUAAGGGUACAAUAGUAAUCACAAAAUUAAUAUAUUUAAAUAAAAAAUAGUUUAAUUCUUUUAAAUACUUACUAAUUUCCAAAAAAAAAAACUAAUUUUCUCUCUCUUAUUAAUUAUAAACGAAAAUUUGAAAUUAAUUUUUUAAAAAUUGUUAACCAAUAGGAAUUGAAAAACUAAGAUUUGAUAUCCAACUAAGAUUUUUUCUAAACCAAUCCUAAUAGACUAUUCUAUAUCAAAAAUACAAAUAAAAAUAAUAUCAUUUUAAUUCAAAAUUAAAAAAAACUAUCAUUUAAAAAGAUUUAUCAAUGGAGGAUUUUAAGAUUGAAUUUAAAAUUUGGUAAAAAAAUUAAAUGCAAAUAUUUUAAUAUUCAGUUUUGUUAUAAUAUUUUUAUUACAAAUUUUGAAAUAUAAAACGAAAUUUUAUUUCAUAAUUUCUAAAAAACCAUAUUAAAUAUUAACAAAUAUUUAUUUUUACUAUGAAAUAAACUCAAAUAAUAAUAAAUUUUAAGUAAUUAUCAUAAUGGUUUUCGUUUAGAGCAAUUUUCGAAAAAAUCUAAACAAUAGAAUGUACAUAUUAAUUUUGAAAUAUUUUGUGUUUUAUUUUUUUCUUUUCAACUCAGAUCUUCCUUAAAUAAUAACUAGAUGCAAAUAUUAUUUAAGGAAGAUUUUAAGAUUGAAUUUGAAAUUUGGUAAAAAAAUUAAAUGCAAAUAUUUUAAUAUUCAGUUUUGUUAUAAUAUUUUUAUUACAAAUUUUGAAAUAUAAAACGAAAUUUUAUUUCAUAAUUUCUAAAAAACCAUAUUAAAUAUUAACAAAUAUUUAUUUUUACUAUGAAAUAAACUCAAAUAAUAAUAAAUUUUAAGUAAUUAUCAUAAUGGUUUUCGUUUAGAGCAAUUUUUGAAAAAAUCUAAACAAUAGAAUGUACAUAUUAAUUUUGAAAUAUUUUGUGUUUUAUUUUUUUCUUUUCAACUCAGAUCUUCCUUAAAUAAAUCCAUAAUAUAUUGCACACAGUUUUUGAAAUUAUGUAAACUAAUUAUAUAUUUUGCAUUCAACACAAAUUAUGCAACAAUAGCAUAUCCCUUUUAUAGAUGUAUCUAAAACUUUUAUUUUUAGUCCAAAUAUUGAACUAAUUAUGAUUAAACAAUGAAAAGAAGAAUAUGCAAAAUUUAGCUAAGGAAAGAAACAUUAAUAAAUUUGUUAAAAUAUUUGUAACUUUAACAUCAUACAUAUUAAUCCGCAAAACUCACAGUAUGUAUUUUAUGAUAUUUUAAAGUAAGCAAACAAGAAUUUGGAACAUGGUUUUAAUGGAAUGAAAUGAGAAUAAGAAUUACGAGACGGGAUGGCAGAGGAACAUAAAUUAAAAAUCAAACUUAAUACUCAACUGGUAUGAGUUUGUGUUAUGAGCACUAUAUAAAAUAAAUUUGUUUACACACAUAACCUUAUACGUACAUUUUUAGUUACAAUUUAUGACAGAUACGGGACCGUAAUAUUUUUAUUUCACGUAUACGAGACGGGUUAUGGGACGAAAAAUUUAUGACAUAUACAAGACGGGAUAGGUUUCCUGUUCCAAAAUAGUUACGCCUAGCUAAUAUACAUGAAAUAAUCCAAACUAAACCGAAUAUGUAUCCUAUUUAACACAUGUAAUCAAACUGUUAGAAAUGUUUUGAAUAGUUUAGAAAAUAAAAACGUAACAUCACUUAACUUUUGCAACUAAAUAAUAUCUUAAUUUUAUAUUAAAUACAAUUUCACACGUACGUGUAGGUCCGAAUCUUAAAAUAUAACUAUGCACUAACGCAACUAAAUUUCGUUCAUUACUCUAACUUUAUAAUAUCUAUAUUAUUAUAAAGUUCACUAACACAACAAAAUAUUUUAUAUUUUUAAAAUCUAUAUAACAAUUUCUAAAAAAAUAUCUCUGCACGUACAUGUGGAUCUAGAUCUAAUACACUAAAAUAUACAUCAUAAAAACAAUAAAAUAAUCUAUAUUGUAUGAAAAUUUGUAAGAAAUGUUUUUGAAAUAUGAAACCCCGCACGUACGUGCGGGUCAGGAUCUAGUAAGUUCUAAAAGGGAGAUUACAAAAUACUUGAAAUUAAAAGACUUGUGAAGGAGAGGAUCCUAGUACAGAACAGGUUCUGGUACCGGUUCCUGCCUCGGUUCUGGUCUGAUCAGCUCCCGUCUCGGAUCCGGUCUGAACACCUCCCGUCUCGUUGCCCUCUCGUCGCGUUUGCAUUUUCCGGUUCGGAUCCUCCUCGAUACAUGUCUUCAAACACUGGAUCUUUCUGUGCGAGUUAUUCAAAGUAGGCAUCGAAGCUAUGGAUCUUCUCAGCCUGGGAUUGAAGAAGAGCUUCAGCGACAGCAAGCUUCUACGAUAGAACAACCAGAUCAUUAUGAGUAGGCGGUGGACCAACAUGGACUGAGGAUGCUUCAUGCUGCAGAAAACCAACUCCAUAAAUCCUUCCUUUCUUCCUUGGAGCAACCUGAUACAAACCACACAAAUAUAAUGAGUUGGCUGCCAAGAUCAAGAGAAACUCCUACCAAAUACACAAGUAUA
rnacentral:lncRNA from 1 species